rnacentral:rRNA from 1 species
AGGGCGCAUGGUGAAUGCCUUGGCAUCAGGAGCCGAUGAAGGACGUGAUAAGCUGCGAUAAGCUUCGGGUAGGCGCACAUAGCCUGAGAUCCGAAGAUCUCCGAAUGAGGAAACUCACAUGGGAAACCCCAUGUAUCAUUAAGUGAAUACAUAGCUUAAUGAAGGUAACCCAGGGAACUGAAACAUCUAAGUACCUGGAGGAAGAGAAAGAAAAAUCGAUUUUCUUAGUAGCGGCGAGCGAAAGGGAAAGAGCCCAAACCGGAAACUUGUUUCCGGGGUUGUGGACAUAGCAUGAAAGUGGAGGCUAUUGUAACUGAAGAGAACUGGAAAGUUCCACCGUAGAAGGUAAUAGUCCUGUAAGUGAAACGAGAAGACCACGAGUUAUGAUCCAGAGUACCACGAGACACGUGAAACCUUGUGGGAAGCAGGGAGGACCACCUCCCAAGGCUAAAUACUACCUGAUGACCGAUAGUGAAGCAGUACCGUGAGGGAAAGGUGAAAAGAACCCCGGGAGGGGAGUGAAAUAGAACCUGAAACCGUGUGCCUACAACCGCUCAGAGCCCCUUAUGAGGGUGAUGAGGUGCUUUUUGUAGAACGAGCCAACGAGUUACGGUAUGUAGCAAGGUUAAGUACUUAAGGUACGGAGCCGAAGGGAAACCGAGUCUGAAUAGGGCGACUAGUUGCAUGCCGUAGACCCGAAACCGGGUGACCUAUCCAUGGCCAGGUUGAAGCGAGGGUAAAACCUCGUGGAGGACCGAACCACGUUGCUGUUGAAAAAGCAUGGGAUGAGCUGUGGAUAGCGGAGAAAUUCCAAUCGAACCCGGAGAUAGCUGGUUCUCUCCGAAAUAGCUUUAGGGCUAGCGUCGAGUAUGAGUAGUGGAGGUAGAGCACUGAAUGGGCUAGGGGGCAUAGCGCUUACCGAACCUUAUCAAACUCCGAAUGCCACAUACUUUGAGCUCGGCAGUCAGACUACGAAUGAUAAGAUCCGUGGUCAAAAGGGAAACAGCCCAGAUCGUCAGCUAAGGUCCCAAAGUGUAAGUUAAGUGGGAAAGGAUGUGAGAUUUCUAAGACAACUAGGAUGUUGGCUUAGAAGCAGCCAUUCAUUAAAAGAGUGCGUAAUAGCUCACUAGUCGAGAGAUCUUGCGCCGAAAAUGUAACGGGGCUAAACUUACCACCGAAGCUACGGGCUUGAACUUAGUUCAAGCGGUAGGAGAGCGUCGUAACCGGGCUGAAGUCGUACCGUAAGGAGCGGUGGACUGGUUACGAGUGAGAAUGUUGGCAUCAGUAGCGAGAUGUGGGUGAGAAUCCCACAGGCCGAAAACCUAAGGUUUCCUCAGGAAGGUUCGUCCGCUGAGGGUUAGUCGGGACCUAAGCCGAGGCCGAAAGGCGUAGGUGAUGGACAACUGGUUGAUAUUCCAGUACCACUACCAUCGUUAUUAUCGAUGGCGUGACGCAGGAGGAUAGUGUGUGCUAGCUAUUGGAUGCUAGUCUAAGCGUUUAGGCAGUGAGAGUAGGCAAAUCCGCUCUCAUAAUGCUGAGGCGUGAUGGGGAAGGUUCUACGGAACCGAAGUACAUGAUUCCACGCUGCCAAGAAAAGCGUCUAGAGAGAGAAGUAGUGCCCGUACCGCAAACCGACACAGGUAGGUGAGGAGAGAAUCCUAAGGCCGGCGGAAGAAUUACAGUUAAGGAACUCGGCAAAUUGACCCCGUAAGUUCGCGAGAAGGGGUGCCUACGAGAGUAGGCCGCAGAGAAUAGGCCCAAGCAACUGUUUAGCAAAAACACAGGUCUCUGCUAAAGCGUAAGCUGAUGUAUAGGGGCUGACGCCUGCCCGGUGCUGGAAGGUUAAGGGGAACACUUAGCGCAAGCGAAGGUGUGAACUUAAGCCCCAGUAAACGGCGGCCGUAACUAUAACGGUCCUAAGGUAGCGAAAUUCCUUGUCAGGUAAGUUCUGACCCGCACGAAUGGCGUAAUGACUUGGGCACUGUCUCAACUGUAAAUCCGGCGAAGUUGUAGUGCGAGUGAAGAUGCUCGCUACCCGCGAUUGGACGGAAAGACCCCGUAGAGCUUUACUGUAGCUUAGCAUUGAGUUUUGGUAUUGUCUGUACAGGAUAGGUGGGAGACUAGGAAACCAGGGCGUCAGCCUUGGUGGAGUCAACCUUGGGAUACCACCCUGACAGUACUGAAAUUCUAACUGGCGGCCAUGAAUCUGGUCACAGGACAUUGUUAGGUGGGCAGUUUGACUGGGGCGGUCGCCUCCUAAAAAGUAACGGAGGCGCCCAAAGGUUCCCUCAGAACGGUCGGAAAUCGUUCGAAGAGUGCAAAGGCAGAAGGGAGCCUGACUGCGACACCCACAAGUGGAGCAGGGACGAAAGUCGGGCUUAGUGAUCCGGUGGUACCUCGUGGGAGGGCCAUCGCUCAACGGAUAAAAGCUACCUCGGGGAUAACAGGCUGAUCUCCCCCAAGAGUCCACAUCGACGGGGAGGUUUGGCACCUCGAUGUCGGCUCGUCGCAUCCUGGGGCUGAAGUAGGUCCCAAGGGUUGGGCUGUUCGCCCAUUAAAGCGGCACGCGAGCUGGGUUCAGAACGUCGUGAGACAGUUCGGUCCCUAUCCGUCGCGGGCGUAGGAAAUUUGAGAGGAGCUGUCCUUAGUACGAGAGGACCGGGAUGGACUGACCUCUGGUGUACCAGUUGUUCCGCCAGGAGCACAGCUGGGUAGCUAAGUCGGGAAUGGAUAAACGCUGAAAGCAUCUAAGCGUGAAGCCAACCUCAAGAUGAGAUUUCCCAUAGCGUAAGCUAGUAAGAUCCCUUGA